GAUGAACGCUAGCGGCAGGCCUAACACAUGCAAGUCGAGCGAACAGACGAGGAGCUUGCUCCUCUGACGUUAGCGGCGGACGGGUGAGUAACACGUGGAUAACCUACCUAUAAGACUGGGAUAACUUCGGGAAACCGGAGCUAAUACCGGAUAAUAUAUUGAACCGCAUGGUUCAAUAGUGAAAGACGGUUUUGCUGUCACUUAUAGAUGGAUCCGCGCCGCAUUAGCUAGUUGGUAAGGUAACGGCUUACCAAGGCAACGAUGCGUAGCCGACCUGAGAGGGUGAUCGGCCACACUGGAACUGAGACACGGUCCAGACUCCUACGGGAGGCAGCAGUAGGGAAUCUUCCGCAAUGGGCGAAAGCCUGACGGAGCAACGCCGCGUGAGUGAUGAAGGUCUUCGGAUCGUAAAACUCUGUUAUUAGGGAAGAACAAAUGUGUAAGUAACUAUGCACGUCUUGACGGUACCUAAUCAGAAAGCCACGGCUAACUACGUGCCAGCAGCCGCCGUAA
rnacentral:rRNA from 1 species